rnacentral:rRNA from 1 species
ACAGGUGCUGCAUGGCUGUCGUCAGCUCGUGUCGUGAGAUGUUGGGUUAAGUCCCGCAACGAGCGCAACCCUUGCCUUUAGUUGCCAUCAUUCAGUUGGGCACUCUAGAGGGACUGCCGGUGUCAAACCGGAGGAAGGUGGGGAUGACGUCAAGUCCUCAUGGCCUUUAUGCCCAGGGCUACACACGUGCUACAAUGGGCGGUACAAAGAGCAGCGAGCUCGCGAGAGUAAGCAAAUCUCAAAAAGCCGUCCUCAGUUCGGAUUGGAGUCUGCAACUCGACUCCAUGAAGUUGGAAUCGCUAGUAAUCGCGGAUCAGCAUGCCGCGGUCGAAUACGUUCCGGGCCUU